rnacentral:lncRNA from 1 species
CUCUAGGGUAAUAUUCAAGUAUAAGUGUAUUAACGUUCAUUAAUUGGAAAGUAUAAACUUGUAAAACCUAGUUGAGUACCUGUUACAGUUGUGAAGUUGUCGACCUCAUUACCUCUUAGAUCAAGCUCCUCCAAAUUACUCAAAGCACGUAGAUCUAGAUGGAGGUAGAGAAAUAAAAAUGUACAAGCAAAUUGUGAAAAUGAUGAUUGAAAACUCAGUUUUGCUAGACACAAAUAAGAAAAAUAAGGAGUUCUAAACUGUGGAACUAACCUUUCAUUUGGAUGGUUCCUUUUAGUUCAUUGUAAGAGAUAUCUAGAGACUUGAGUGAUUAUAGCCCAUGAACUGUGGAGAAAAUGCUAUUAUUGAAAUAAUUUGAUUGUAAAUUAAGGACCGUCAAUUAUUUUAGGCCG